GUGCUCACUUCAGCAGCACAUAUACUAAAAUUGGAAUACAGAGAAGAUUAGCACGGCCUCCACGCAAGGAUGACACCCAAAAUCGUGAAGCUUCCAUAUUUUUU
ensembl:snRNA U6 U6 spliceosomal RNA